GCAAUGGAUGCGAAUAACAAUUGCUAAAAGGUGCGGUUCACCCUUCAAACCGCAUCUUUUGAGUGGUUCUUUGCUCUUUUGAGUGUUUCUUUGGUUUCACACGCACCAUUGGAUGCGGAAGUUGUUGACCCGCAGCUUUUGCUCCUAAUUUUCCCCCACAAAAUUUCACUUCCCUCCGUCUUCAAAAAAAUUUAAACCCUAAAAACCUCCCCUACCCCCACAAGAAUUCAUUUCCCUCCCUCUCCAAAAAAAUUAAACACCAAAAACCAUUCCAUCUCCCAGAAACUUCUCCUCUCCGGUCUCCACCAUCUGCUCCCAAAAAAUUAAAUAUCUCGAAGUCAUCCACCAUCCAUCGAAGAUCGAACGCAAUAGACAACCGCCUCAAUCUUCCUUCAUCUUGAUGACGGUCUUAAUCGAACAUCACGGGUCUUGAACACAUUUGAAGAGUAUCCAGAUAUUUCAUGUUGAAGAGACCCCGUAGAAGAUGCGAGGGCACAACCAUGGGUGGCUAUCAUUGUCCUGGUCUCGGAAUCAGUCUUUUUUUCUCUCGGUAAUCUCUCCUCUUUUUGACCUAGAUUCAUCAUUGGUUUUUGUUGAGUGUUUUGGGGAUUUAUAGUUUAAACUUUAAAGAUGACAGAUUUUGCAGGCCUGGUAAGUUGGGAAAUGGAUCGAUAAGGGAUUGGGUUGAAAUCUUUUAUUUUGUAGUUGUGUGUAUGGAAGCCAAAAAACCUGGUCAAACUGAUGGAAGUUGGUUGGGUCUGUGGUUUAAUAAGUCUAAUCGUAUAGUCGGUUGGUUUAAAAAAAUGAAAACUGGUUUACAAAAAAUAUAACACGAAUUGAAAUAAAAUAAUUUUUAUUUGACUUAUAUGGCAGAGUUUGUUCAGUUUCAAGCAUUGUUGAUCUACCUGUGAUUUCUUGACACCUUCCAAAAUCAUAUUCUUCAACUUGCUGUAGCUUUGAUAGUCUUUGCUUAGGUGUUUCGGCUAAGCUUUGAUACCCACAUUUUGCAGGAUUUGGAUAUAGGAGAGGCACCUUACCACUAGGUAGGGGUGUUAACAAGGCCAGAGGCUCGAGAGCUACUCGUGGUCGGCUCGGUUAAAAGCUCGAAUGAGUCGAGCCUUAACGAGCCCGAGCUCGAGCCUGAAAUAGAGCUCGUUUAGUUAUCGAGCCUGAGCUUGAGCCUAAAAUACAAAGCUCGUUUAGGCUUGCGAGCCCAAACGAGCCUAAACAAAAUUUUAGUUUUUAUAUGUAUAAUAUAAUAAUGAUGAUGAUAACAUUGGUGAGCCGAGCUUUGGCUCGCUUAAUCGCUGUUGAAACGAGCUCGAGCCGAGCUUUUAGCUCAUUUGAGGUUGUUCUUGAAAUAGCUUGAGCCGAUUCGAGCCGAGCUUGAGCUUUGGGUUUUACUUGUGAGCCGAGCUCGAGCUCAGAGAAGUAGGCUCGCACCGAGCCGAGCUCGAGCUCAAGCUUCAUAAAAACAUAACGAGCCGAGCUCGGGCUCGGCUCGGCUCGUUUACACCCUUACCACUAGGAUGUCCUUUGGGUAGGUUAUACAGUAAUUUGGUUGGUAUGGUGGGUGAGUUUUAUUGUUUAGGAAAUUGGGAUUAUGUAGUUUAUGGAGGUAUGAGUUCCACCAUUGUUGGACAAGAUCCGGCUCUGAUCAGUUCAUGCAAGCUUACUGUGAGAUACUAUGCUAUUUUCACAAGGAUGGAGUCCCAGUUCAAGGUAAUCUCUUUCUCUAACACAGAUUCUAGUACAUAAUCUACUAUUUUUUCACCUACAUACACCCCUAGAGAGAGACGCGGAUAGAAAUGGAUCCUCUAAAGAGGAACUUGAUCUUGACAUGAAUAACAACAGUAUGGUUGAUCAUCAAGCUAAAGAUCGGUACAGUAUGUACGAGUUUGACAGCGUUGAGUUAAUAUGUUACUUUGAACGGUUAUUAGUGAUCCUUCAUGAGAAAGAACUCACUUGGGUUGGGCGUCUCUUGCAUAAGCAUCAUACUUGUGUAAUUUUUGAACUAAGAAUCAGUACGUCUUUAAAGCAGCGUCCACUCAUAUGGUCUGCCACUGUAAGUUCUUAUAUAUUCAAGCAAAACAUAGCUCUUAUUUUUUAGAUAUAUUUGUUGACGCUGGAAUAAGGGAGUGAUUCCUAUCAUUUUUCUUUUUCUGUUUCUUUAAUUUGAAAGUUUAUAGAUUCACUCUGAUUACUUCUUAUUACAUGGGCUUUAUCAUUCAAUUAAAGAUUCCAUCUUAUCUUAUACAUAUAUACACUUUUAGACAAUUUUUAAGCUUCAUUUUUAAUAAUUUAACAUUAUGUUUUGUUAGGCAAUUUCUUCGGUUCCUGUUGCAAGUAUUAAUUGAAGACAAAGGUUGGGGUUGCAAGUAUCAGUCUCUUAAUGACAUGUUUUUGUAAUGCAGUUCGUGCCGCUAUAGAGUUGGAAUUUGAUUUUCAUAUGGCCAUCUACAACCUCAACAUUGUUUAGGUUAUUUCAACAUUGUUUUGGUUAGUUUAACGAACUUUUUCUUCUCUACGAUUCUAGUUGCAAGUAUGGAUUGAAGACGUUGGUUUGGGUUGAAAGUAUGAAGACAUCGGUCGGUUCAGGAAGUUACUGUAUACCACUUUCAUCUUUAGAGUUUUAUGUAUUGUUGUGUUACUUGAAACUUUUGUAAUAUUAUGUUACUUUGAAACCUUUGUAUUUUAUAUUCUUGGGUUAUAUUAUACUGGUUCUAAUA